rnacentral:rRNA from 1 species
GAUCCUGGCUCAGAAUCAACGCUGGCGGCGUGCCUAACACAUGCAAGUCGAACGCGAAAGCCCCGCAAGGGGUAAGUAGAGUGGCAAACGGGUGAGUAACACGUGGGUGACCUGCCUUCGAGUGGGGGAUAACGUCCCGAAAGGGACGCUAAUACCGCAUGACAUCCUGCUCUUGGACGAGCGGAGAUCAAAGCUGGGGAUCGCAAGACCUGGCGCUUGAAGAGGGGCCCGCGCCUGAUUAGCUAGUUGGUGAGGUAACGGCUCACCAAGGCGACGAUCAGUAUCCGGCCUGAGAGGGCGGACGGACACACUGGGACUGAGACACGGCCCAGACUCCUACGGGAGGCAGCAGUGGGGAAUUGUUCGCAAUGGGCGCAAGCCUGACGACGCAACGCCGCGUGGAGGAUGAAGAUCUUCGGGUCGUAAACUCCUGUCGAGCGGGAAGAACGUUUCGCGGAUGAAUAAGCCGCGGAAGUGACGGUACCGCUAAAGGAAGCCCCGGCUAACUCCGUGCCAGCAGCCGCGGUAAUACGGGGGGGGCAAGCGUUGUUCGGAAUUACUGGGCGUAAAGGGCUCGUAGGUGGCCAACUAAGUCAGACGUGAAAUCCCCAGGCUUAACCUGGGAACUGCGUCUGAUACUGGAUGGCUUGAAUUCGGGAGAGGGAUGCAGAAUUCCAGGUGUAGCGGUGA